rnacentral:rRNA from 1 species
AAAACGGAGAGUUUGAUCCUGGCUCAGGAUGAACGCUGGCGGUAUGCUUAACACAUGCAAGUCGAACGGGAUGCUUAGGCAUCUAGUGGCGGACGGGUGAGUAACGCGUGAGAAUCUGGCUCCAGGUCGGGGAUAACAGUUGGAAACGACUGCUAAUACCGGAUGUGCCGAGAGGUGAAAGAUUUAUUGCCUGGAGAUGAGCUCGCGUCUGAUUAGCUAGUUGGUGGUGUAAGGGACCACCAAGGCGUCGAUCAGUAGCUGGUCUGAGAGGAUGAUCAGCCACACUGGGACUGAGACACGGCCCAGACUCCUACGGGAGGCAGCAGUGGGGAAUUUUCCGCAAUGGGCGAAAGCCUGACGGAGCAAUACCGCGUGAGGGAGGAAGGCUCUUGGGUCGUAAACCUCUUUUCUCAAGGAAGAAGAAAGUGACGGUACUUGAGGAAUAAGCAUCGGCUAACUCCGUGCCAGCAGCCGCGGUAAUACGGAGGAUGCAAGCGUUAUCCGGAAUGAUUGGGCGUAAAGGGUCUGCAGGUGGAACUGAAAGUCUGCUGUUAAAGAGUUUGGCUUAACCAAAUAAAAGCGGUGGAAACUACAGAACUAGAGUGCGGUAGGGGCAAAAGGAAUUCCUGGUGUAGCGGUGAAAUGCGUAGAUAUCAGGAAGAACACCGGUGGCGAAAGCGUUUUGCUAGACCGUAACUGACACUGAGGGACGAAAGCUAGGGGAGCGAAUGGGAUUAGAUACCCCAGUAGUCCUAGCCGUAAACGAUGGAUACUAGGCGUGGCUUGUAUCGACCCGAGCCGUGCCGGAGCUAACGCGUUAAGUAUCCCGCCUGGGGAGUACGCACGCAAGUGUGAAACUCAAAGGAAUUGACGGGGGCCCGCACAAGCGGUGGAGUAUGUGGUUUAAUUCGAUGCAACGCGAAGAACCUUACCAAGACUUGACAUCCUGCGAAUCCUGGUGAAAGCUGGGAGUGCCUUAGGGAGCGCAGAGACAGGUGGUGCAUGGCUGUCGUCAGCUCGUGUCGUGAGAUGUUGGGUUAAGUCCCGCAACGAGCGCAACCCUCGUUUUUAGUUGCCAGCAUUAAGUUGGGCACUCUAGAGAGACUGCCGGUGACAAACCGGAGGAAGGUGAGGAUGACGUCAAGUCAGCAUGCCCCUUACGUCUUGGGCUACACACGUACUACAAUGCUACGGACAGAGGGCAGCGAGCCAGGGAUGGCAAGCGAAUCCAGAAACCGUAGCUCAGUUCAGAUCGAAGGCUGCAACUCGCCUUCGUGAAGGAGGAAUCGCUAGUAAUUGCAGGUCAGCAUACUGCAGUGAAUUCGUUCCCGGGCCUUGUACACACCGCCCGUCACACCAUGGAAGUUGGUCACGCCCGAAGUCAUUACCCCAACCGAAAGGAGGGGGAUGCCUAAGGUAGGACUGGUGACUGGGGUGAAGUCGUAACAAGGUAGCCGUACCGGAAGGUGUGGCUGGAUCACCUCCUUU